rnacentral:rRNA from 1 species
AUCGAGGUGGAGAGUGGCGAAAGGGUGAGUAACGCGUGAGCAAUCUACCUCUAAGUUCGGAAUAACCCCGCGAAAGUGGAGCUAAUACCGGAUGUGGUACCUCGUCGCAUGGCGAGGCUAUUAAAGGUGGGGAUCCUUCGGGACCUGCUGCUUGGAGAGGAGCUCGCGUCCCAUCAGCUUGUUGGUAGGGUAACGGCCUACCAAGGCAUACGGGUAGCCGGCCUGAGAGGGUGACCGGCCACACUGGGACUGAGACACUGCCCAGACUCCUACGGGAGGCUGCAGUCGAGGAUCAUUCGCAAUGCGCGAAAGCGUGACGAUGCGACGCUGCGUGGAGGAUGACGGCCCUAGGGUUGUAAACUCCUGUCAUGAGGGAACAGCCGGCAAAGGGAUAAUACCCCUUCGCUCCGAUGGUACCUCAAGAGGAAGCCACGGCUAACUCUGUGCCAGCAGCCGCGGUAAUACAGAGGUGGCGAGCGUUGUUCGGAUUUACUGGGCGUAAAGGGUGCGUAGGUGGUUUCGUAUGUCGGAUGUGAAAGCCCGGGGCUCAACCCCGGAACUGCAUUCGAAACUGCGGGACUAGAGUACAGGAUGGGAGAGCGGAAUUCUUGGUGUAGCGGUGAAAUGCGUUGAGAUCAAGAAGAACACCGGCGGCGAAGGCGGCUCUCUGGAAUGUUACUGACACUCAUGCACGAAAGCUGGGGUAGCAAACAGGAUUAGAUACCCUGGUAGUCCCAGCUGUAAACUGUGUGCACUUGGUGUUGGCGGUAUUGACCCCGCCAGUGCCGGAGUUAACGCGUUAAGUGCACCGCCUGAGGAGUACGAUCGCAAGGUUAAAACUCAAAGAAAUUGACGGGGGCCCGCACAAGCGGAGGAGCAUGUGGCUUAAUUCGAUGCAACGCGAAGAACCUUACCUGGGUUUGACAUCGGAGAGGCUUGCCUCUAGCGCGUGAAAGCGCGUUAACCAGACAGGUGCUGCAUGGCUGUCGUCAGUUCGUGCCGUGAGGUGUUGGGUUAAGUCCCGUAACGAAAGCAAUCUUUAUGUUUAGUUGCCACCCCCGAGCAAUCGGGGGGCAGUUUAGACAGACUUCCGGUUCAAGCGGGAGGAAGUUGGG